rnacentral:misc_RNA from 1 species
CAACCCUCAAGACCCCUUCGGGGGACUUGGUGUUGGGGACCGGCCCCGGCCUUUGCGCCCGCCGCCCCCGAAAUGAAUUGGCGGCCUCGUCGCGGCCUCCUCUGCGUAGUAGCACAACCUCGCAACGGGAGCGCGACGCGGCCACUGCCGUAAAACGCCCAACUUUUAACAG